ACUCCCCAGGGUCCUGCUCCCGCACUGACCGAGGGCCUUUCAGAGGUGACCGGGUGCCACCCUCCCCCGCCCCCCGGCCUCGCUCAUCAGACCAUAAGCGCCCCAGAAAGGAGAGCGGGCGGGUUCGCAGGCCGGGAAGGCUUGUCGUGUCCGGCCCCCGCCCCGCCGCGCGGCUAGGUAACUGCUCGGGCUCCCGCGCGGCCACCAAGUGUUCCAGGGUGAGGAUCUGGCGAAAUGUGGCCGAGACAGAGGGCGGCGCGGCCGUGCACCGGCCCCCGCCUCCCGGGGCCUCCAUUUGACCCAACUUGAGGCUUGAACUCACGACCCCGAGAUCAAGAGUCACAUGCUCUUCCGUCGGAGCCAACCAGACGCUCACUAGGUUUCUUUUAAGUUCACCUACAAAGGACCAGAAGAAAGAACUCCAAGAAGGCUGAAGAAGUAAAAAAGUCUUCUGGGGGCUGCUGGUCUGGAGCGAAUCCCUGCAGAAUGAGAGAGAUGUGAGUCCUUGGAAGGCAAGGGAAUGAACAGGACUUUCCAUUUCAGGGUGAAAACCAGUGGCUUAAGGUACCUGGUGCUGUUGGUUCCUGAGUUUUUUUGAAGAUUCUCUAGUGUGAAACAAGCUCAUUCUUCGCUUUAUCUACUGCCAACUCAAGGCCGGAGAUACAGAUCUGAGAGAGACAGCACCUGCCCUCAAGGAUCUUACAGUCAAGGAGGCAAGGUCAUCACGCACAUCUGAUCGCAGACAGUGAGAUGCAUUCAAUCACAGGGAUGCGUCCGCAGUGCUAAGAGCCUGGAAGAGGGGCAGCAAGCACCAUGGGCAGGCCUUUGCAUGCCAGACCAAGGAGCUGGGACUCUGUAGGCGGUGGGAGCCCCGCCAGGAGAGAGACUUGGGUGGCUUUGCAUCUGGAGCCCUCACUGCUGCAGCUGGGGCUGGAGGGACAGGGGAAGGCGGGACGGCCAGCAGAGACACCACCAUCCAGGCGAGCAGUGGCAAGGGAAUGAAGACCAUGGGUGGAUUCCAGGGCUGGCGAGAGGUCCCCUCCACAAGACGAGGUGGGUGCCUGGAUGCAGGGAUAAAGCCAAGAGGCAAGGACAUGGGUGACUUUAGGGUUCCUGGCUUAUGCGGCUGGGUGGAUGGUCGUGCCUUGGGCCACAUUUUCUUUGAACGCAAAAACAAAAAUCAUGGCCUAUUCUUAGUAAUUCUGAUUCCCUGUGGGUAUUUUUGGUACCAGAGUUUAUUUCGUUGUCCCAUCUUCUCUAAGAAAAUUCUAUCUGAUAACUAGUAGAGGCUGUAAAUAAGAGCAGAAGAAGGGCAGGAGUCUUUGCUUCCCCGCCCCCCCACCCGCCUCCCCGGAUGGGAAGCAAUGUGGGGUAUUUAUUUGCUGUUAACUUACACAGCCUACCAGCGUGGAGAGGGGUGGCGGGUGAGGGCUUACACAGCCGCUCAGGUACUGCCCAGUUGGCCAGGCAAGUUCUCAAAACAGCUUCUGGCUUGGCCACUUCGCCGGGCACCAGCCCCACAGGUUAUGAAAUGUUUAAUACUGUGUUUUUAUGGGAGAAAUGCAACAAGGAGAUAGAAAUGUGUUGUAAAGGUGGUCUGACCAGAUAUUGCUCAACCGACUGGCCUCAAGAACAGGAAUGUUUCUGGCCAAUACACAUUUAAGGGAGAGAAAUGAAAACAAAAGCAAUCAAAUGGUAUUUUUCUCAGACUUGAAGGGAAGAUGCAUUCUCAGCUUGAGAGAGACUUUCUUUUUCCUAAUUAAGAUGAAUGUAAUGUUUAAUUACAAAGACCCCAGGUAAACUAAAAAUGGACUGUUGCGAAUUUUAAAAAGGUAAAAGGAUUCAUGUUGGAAGAAGUGGACUCUCGCUGAGUCUCAGAUGACUCAAGUGUCUUUUGCAUUAUGAAGGACUGGGAUUUUCAGCUGCACAGCAUAUAUGCUUACCGUUGGGGCGUGUGUGUGUUGUGUGUGUGUGUAUUUAUCUCACACCAAAGACCGAAAUCUCACGAAGCCUUGGUUAGCAGGUGUCAUGAUUAUCCUAUAAACACAGCACACUGUGGAUUGCUGCCACGUAGUUAUUUUCUUCAGACAUAUCUUUGUGGUAGAAUGUUCUCUCUCUCUUUUUUUAAAGAUUUUAUUUAUUCAUUUGAGAGAGAGACAGAGAGAGCACAAGCAGGGGAGAGGGGCAGAAGGAGAGGGAGAAGCAGACUGCCCACUGAGCAGGGUGCCCGAUGCGGGACUCGAUCCCAGGACCCUGGGAUCAUGACCUGAGCCGAAGGCAGACGCUUAACCAUCUGAGCCACCCAGACGCCCUAGAAUGUUCUCUUUCUGGAAGCCAACGACUUCUAAUACUGGAUUCUUGAGUGUAGCAAUAAGCCUCCCCAAACACAAAUACAUUUCCUGCGUUUUAAAAGUAAUGGCCCGCAUAGCCAUUCAUCUCCAUGACUGGUGAUUCGUGCAAAAAAAUGGGAUCUAAGAAGUGUUAAUGAAGGAACCAUCCUUGAACUCUGAACAGUCAGAACCAAGCCUUCUAAUGGACACCCAAGCAUGCAGUUAGGGGAAGGAAGGUUUGAGGUUGAAUCCUAACUGAACGUCUCUCGAUAACCUGCAGCCUGGGCAAAGGUGUGUCCCGAUGCUCCGUGGCGUGCUUGGAACUCCCCAGCUGGUGGAUUGAGAGUUGUUUGCUCGCCCUGUUCAAAACGAGAGGUGUAAAAGGACACCUGAAAGACGACUCAUAAUUUGUAACUGACUGGCGUUGCUUGACGAGCCCCGUGUAUUUAUAAUCUUUCAAAGCCACAUGCAAAGGUCCCCGUGCCUCAUUAAUCAUCCAGCUGCAAUAUUUUUGUCUAUCAUGCUGUUUGUUACCACAAGACCUGAACUAAAGUAAACUUCUCCUUCCCAAGUUUUGCCUUGUACCAGAGCUACUGCGCUAGUCUUUCUAAAUUAUCGCAACCCAUGUCUGUUUCAGGCUGGUCCCCGGGGGCUGUAAUUGCAGAAGUAUAACCUGGUAGUUAGGUCACAUGGUCCAAGGAACCGCCGGGGCACCAACGUGCUUCCUGCCAGACGACCUUUGGCAGCUGGAGACACGGGUGCCCCAUCUGCAGCCGCUGGCUGUGUGUGCGCUCCGCUCUCUGCUAUUCCCAGGGCAGAGUGGAGGUGCCUGUUGAAAACCCCGAGUCAGAACUUGGAACCCUGAGCUCCCGCUCUGCCACCCUAUCAAUUUCCUGUUAAUGGAGUGGCUUGCUCAGGUGUUAAUUGGCAAGGAUGUUUGUUUGCUUUUGUUUCUUAUAAAAAGAACGGUAUUUUAGUCUGAGACAUUUCCUACUUUUGAAUUAGCUUAGGGCAUGUUUCCUACUAGAAAGAUAAGCAUUAUCUAUACAAGGAUGCGGACUAUCUUCCUCGGUUUAACCCUUGGGAACGGAGGCCUGGCUUCACAGCGGAGGGGAUUCAGGCAGGGCACAGCCCGUGCGUGUGGGGAUGUGGAUGCUGGAGAUGCUGGGCCCGGGUCUGAUUCGUAUCUCAAGCCUCAGUGUCCUCAUCUGUAGCAGAAGGUAGUCGUGAGGAGUCCACGAGCUAAUGCGUAUGAAUGACAGCCACACACCACGAAUGACAGCCCUCACACUGUUCCUUCACUAACUCAUUUCCCCCUCAGAGCAGUUCUGUGGCGGAGGCGCUAUUUCUAUCACCCCCGUUUGACAGAUGGGAACUUGAGGCCCAGAAAGGUACAGACAGUAACUUGCCCAAGGUCACGCAACUACUGAGGGGCAGACCUGGGAUUUGAAACCAAGCUUGACUAUGGAGCGCACGUUCUUAUUUAUGACAUUAAACUUCCUUUUGUAAGAUAGUUGGUGAGUGCCGUGUACUUGGUAACUAUCCAGUAAAUACUAGCAGGGAACGCACAGCCAAUUUCUCAUACCAGAAGCCAUGUUUCUCCUCUCUGGAUAUUAUGCUAAGCGUCAUGGGUGACCCUUUAAAGGCCUAAAAGUACUGUUUACUUCUCCAAGGGUAAGUCUCUUCUCUGUGGCCUCAGGAAGUUGGAGCAAACAGAAAUGUGGUAAAGGUGUUAAGGCAUCAGUCAGCGUGGGGAUGGUAAGAUGCCGCCAUAUUGUGGCCAAAUCGUGCCAAGCCAGUGGGGGGGCACUUUAGAACACGGGGGGAUCUUGAUGGGGCUUGCUGUGACAAGGAGGAGACACUUCGUCUGUGUGCAUUUGACUAGGGAGGUGAUGGAGAACCUUAGGUGACUUCCGGUCCUGGGAAGGAGAGCUUGGGGCAGAGUCCUGGGUCCUCUGAGUAUCUCAGCUGCAUUCGAAGUUGGAGACUGAGAAGGAUGAUCGGGGCUGAUCGAGAGAAAGCAGUGUGAGUCCUCCCCCAAGCCUCUGUCUUAGAGACUCUGGAAGGUGUUUUAAUAGUAAAGAGAUGCCCAUGGGAUGAGACAGCUUGCAUAGGUUUGGGGGUAGCUGUGACUGGCAUUUGCUCUCGGAAGACUAGAGAUGCCAACACUCCUAUGCUGGAGCUUGCUUUAGAUUUUUACCCUCUGUGUAAUUCUGCUCCAUGACCGGCCAAGCACUAUUUUAGGGGCUGGCAAUUCAAAGACAGUAGAAAGUGCAGUCCCUGCCCUUAAGCAACUGAUGUUCGUUGGAAGAGACAGACAGAUAAACAGAAAAUACAAAUCAAUAGGGUAAUCCAGAGGCAAGCAUGAGGGAUCAUGGGACCUUUGGGAAGGACCUCUAAUUCUGGGAGGGAGGUGGUGAGAUCAGAGGCAGCUGGUGAUACCUACCAAACAUCAGCCUCUGAGGCAGAAGGAGGUGGAAGGUAACAGGGAGCUAAGAGAUGAGCAGUUUUGUCUUGAUGGGGCUUAAAAUAUUAGGUAAGGCAAGGUAGGGGAUAAAGGUGGGGAGACAGGGCCACGUGUAAUAGAGGAAGGCGCUCAGGCUUCUUUGGCUCUCCAGCAAUAAUAGUAUCGCUAGAUAUAUGAGUGGCUUUGUAAAUAGAUCCCUCGGACAGCAGUAUGGAGGAUGGGAUUCGGGGGAGAAGAGGCUGAGUCAGAGAGACCUGCUGUAGUGAAUUCAGACAGGAUGAGGGCUUGAGCCAGGACUAUGAUGAUAGGAAAGGCAGCUAAAUAAACUGAGCAGGACUCGAUGUUUGAUUGGUCAUGGGUGGAGUGUUGGGAGAGAAAGAAUUUGGUGAAGGCUCCCACGUUUCUAGCUUGGGUGGCUGGGAAGAUGGUGGUGCUCCCACUGAGUUGGAAGUUAUAGGGAAAAAGCUAGGUUAGAACAGGAGAUGAUGAGGUCAGUCUUGAAAACGUUGAGUUGGAGGUGCCUGGUGGAUAUUUAAAGAGAGGGUCCCAGAGGCGGUUCCAGAGGCCUGCGCUAAUGUCAUGAGCAUCUAGUGCAUUGUUGAAACCUUGGAGGGGAGAUGGGCUCAGCGGGGAGCAGACCAGUGCUCCGAGAAAGGACUGUGGCAUUUCCGGCAGCCUGGGCUUGGGGCGGAACCAGCGCAAGGCACCAGCGGCUGUGCAGCUCAAGGGCUCCGGAAUAGAGCAGACUCCUAUGGGCAGAGAUGCUGCAGUCUACGCUGGCUUUACAGGAGAAUCGGACAGAGUGGGCCUGUUGCCGGGCUUGAGACAUUGUGUCCCAAUGCUGGUUCUGAUGCAGGGCUGGGGAGAAGGGUGGGCUGGGGGAGGAGAGGGGCGUCGCAGUCCCCUGCCAGCCAAGGGGGCUCUUUAAAAUGGAAACGUUUGAACUAUUGGUGAAACAUCAUGAAACGUUCCGGUCAUUGGUGUCUAGGCAGAGGUUCUCGGGCAGGUGAAGGCAGGAAAACACCCGUCGGGCCUCUUCACAUCGUGCCGGUGCUGAGAUUUUCACAGGUCAUAGGCUUGUGACAGGCUUGGGACCUGUCCUCAGGGGAGGGGGCAGUGUGGGUCCAUUUUGAAAAAAACUCCUGGGGGUGAUCCCUCCCAGGUGGAGAACCCCUGCUCUAGAGGACACAGGACUAACUGGAGAAAAGUCUCGGGAACCCUCCCUCUACUUUGUCCCCCUAAGUUGAACUGUUUUCCACCAACACUUCAAAGCGUCCUCCAGCCUAACAGGGGUACAGUCCCACCAUGGAGAAUUUCUACACGUUACUGCUCACCUUGCAGUAAAACAAUUACAGAAUCAUCACUCACUCACCCGGCAUUAUCAGGAAGGCUAGGGGGAGCACCUGAAGCCAUGGUGCUCUUUCUAGAACACCAUGAGAUAUUGACAUAUUUAUUUCUAUUAAAUGAUUUCAGACAAUUUUACGGGCAGAAAGUAUGACUCUAUAAUAUAUGUAUGCAAUCUAAAUUUACCACCAACUGUCCAUGAAAAAAAAAAAUCAAGCUGUCACACCAAGCCUAAUUGGUGAUUUCUGUGUUUUUCUGCUAAUUUUUGUUAGCUGUGCUCAUUUAUUUGUUUUAUCAUAUAAGUGUUCACUGGCAGACAAGUGGUAGCAGUUGCCAAAGUCUUAAGGAAAAUCUAGGAGAUAAAUUUCGGUGCCGUAUACUGAGGCUGUGGUGCCUUUGGGACAAGAGUGCGAUUCCAUCACCCCCUGAAAAUCGGUAAAAACCGCAAUCAUUGCAUUUUACUCGUAGAACCCCUGAGUCCAGCUUACGGAAUAAAUCCUUGAGAACCACUGACUUCAAUGAUGACAUUUAUUUCUUCUUUAACUGUCAAACAGCAGCUGUGUUUAUGUAGAUAUUCUUGACCCAAGUAAUGGGCGAGCUUUAUGGGAUCUGAGAACCCCACUCAAAAUGAAAAGCUGCCUCUGUGUGUUCUAGCUGUGGGGACUUGGUCCCUGGGUUCUUUCUACCCUGAACACGUUCCCCCCCCCACCCCCCCGCUUCCCAGUCUGUACCAACAAGAAGCCUUGCUUCUAGGCUCCACUCAUAGGCCGUUUGCUAAAAACAUAUUAUACCAAGGACUGAAGGUCUCACAAAGAGAGAGAGGCCUCCUCCAGAUUCAGGCACUGGUCAAGAGCACUGCUUGGAGCUCCGAUUUCCACCUGAGUACCUUCAGGGCCAGGGAGCUCACUUCUUCACAAAGAAAAGGUUUUCAGGAAGCCCCUCUGAUUUCCAUCUCCAACUUCUAAAAUCACCCAACCCUUAAAUUCUGCUUCGUUUUUGCCAUCGGCACUUUCUCCCUUGUAGUGUUUUUACUUGGGUCCUCAGUGUGUCCCUCUGUGGUAAGUGGCUCAGGUUUUGGAAUCAUUUGGGCUAGAACCUUCAACUCAUAACUACCUUCACCAUUUACUAGCUGUGUGACCUUGGUGAAUUCCUUAACCUCUCUGAGCCUCAGUUACCACAUACUUAAAAUGAGAAUCCCAUUACUGCCUAUUUCAAGGAUUAUCAUGAGGCCCAUGAAGGAAACUGCCUGACAGAAAGCCAUCAAUGUAGCGGAGAUAUUAUUCUUAUCCCCUCUCCUAGAUUACAAAGUCAGCGAGGGCUGGGACCUCUUCUUGGAUGUCUUUGAAUCUCCGCCUACCAGUCAGUAAAGUGCCUGUAUGAAGAAUCUAAUGAACGUACGGCAUGAAAGAGACUGAGCUGACCAAGACAGACAGGAAGCUUGGGCUCCACACCCAGCCCAGAGUCCAACGUGGGGCUUGAAGCUGAACUCACGACCCUGAGCUGAAAUCAACAGUUGGACGCUUAACCGACUGAGCCACUCAGGCGCCCGUGGAGAUGUUCUGUAUCCUUUUUGGGAGGUAGUUACACAUGCAUAUACAUUUGUCAAAAUUCAGCAAAUGACAAUGAUGAUCUGCACAUUUUGUUGAAUGUAAAUUAUACAGCAGUUUUUAAAAAGGGCAGGUUCAAGUGCUGGUCGUCUCCCUUACUGUAUAGACAAGUCCUUCAUCUCUCUGAGCCCUGGUUUCCUCCCUGAAAAAUGGAAGGACCACUUAUACCUGCGCCAUCGGUGAUCACAUAUAUUAUUAAAUGACACUACGUGAGUUAAAAGUGCUCUGUAGGGCGCCUGGGUGGCUCAGUUGGCUAAGCAACUGCCUUCGGCUCAGGUCAUGAUCCUGGAGUCUUGGGAUCGAGUCCCACAUCGGGCUCCCUGCUCAGCGGGGAGUCUGCUUCUCCCUCUGAUCCUCCCCCUCUCAUGCUCUCUGUCUCCCAUUCUCUCUCUCAGAUAAAUAAAUAAAAUCUCUAAAAAAAAAAAAAAAAGUGCUCUGUAAAUGAUGAAAAGCCCUGUACAUAGUGACUCCCGUUGUUCUGCUUUUCCUCCAGCUGCCUUCUAGAGCAGAUUAUUGAGCUGGUACAAAUCUGUGGGCUCUGCCCUGCAACUUCCCUUGGAGAUUAGUGUUUAUCUAUUUUAAGGAGACUCUGGAGGUAUCAAAAGGCUGCAGAAAAGCAAAUGGAAUAUGGAUUUGCUGGAGACAGGAGGGCGGGCAGCAAAGGGAACAGCUGGGGAGAAAGCCAUCCAUCCAGCUGGGCAGCAGGGCCAGCCGGGUGCCGAGAGGGAGUCGCUGAAUGCCUGCGAGAGAGAGAGAGAAUGAGAGAGAGAGAGAGAGAGUCGUGACCAGGAAAAGCAGCGUGAGUAAAAAAAAAAAUCACAUCUUGCCAAACAAACUGGGUCACAUUCGUGAUGGAGUUAGUCACUGAGCAGAGCCGGGAGAGCAUUUUCAGGGGGAAAAAGCACGGUUGGGGGACCAUGGUGACUCAGCUGAAGAGGCAAAGGCCUCUUGGGCCUCCUGGCCUGGUGGGGUAGUUAAGUGAGAGGGUCCUUCUGUGGCUCCUGCAGUAUUUUGGGUUUGAACUCGAUCUUGACUCCUAAAGGCAAUCACAAACAACCUUUACAUUGGAAUCAAGAGCACAGCACACAUUUUAAAAAGGAAAAAUCUUAGCGAGAAGCCAAGUUAAACUGGGACCGGAAGAGUGGGGAGGCCAUUGCGGAGCUCACCCCCGGAAUUCGAGUGGGAGGUGACAACUGCCUGAGUACAACCGAGCUCCUGAGUGAUUACACUGGCAAAGUCUUUCAGUGUAGCAACUUUAAAGUCUGAGCAAAGAGCAAAUGCCCUUUGGCAACAAAAAUCUAUAAGAUGAUUGAACAAUGCCGAGAUCAAAUUUAAAAUUGUUGGCUACUAAAAUAAAGUUAAAAGAGGGAAAGAUGUAGCAGGAAGAAACAAUCUACAAGACAAAUCUGAUGUGUGAAAUUUUGAUUUUAUCCUCAUUAUAAAAAUUUUGGUGCUUUCUGCUAGAUGGUUCUGCCAAGAAAUGUGAUAUGUUGAAAAAGAAGAGGAAAUGUACUCUAGAUGCUGAGGCUAUAAAAGGCUGUUUAAAGUGACAGGAAUGAGUCGAGGUUCUCCCCAUGACCGAGGUUAUAAAAUUAGGAUCUUAAAACUACCAAAUCUGGGUGAGAAAAAAAAAACUCCAGUAAAAGCCAUAUCUAAAUUUAUCUUAAUAUAACUUACAUUUUCCCACAGUGUUUGUCUUUUCUCUGGGCAUGUCGGAUUCCUUAGGCUGUUAAUUCCCUCCCGAAGAGCAGUCUCUGUUGGAGCGUGGUGGGGAGCUAGGGUGAGGAGGCACAGUGAGAAAGCAAGGGGGGUUCUUUCCUACAACCUCUGAAUCGGAAAGAGGGUGCGGUGAGACGUGGACGCUAGCAUGUGGGGCGCAUCACUGUGUUGAUGCCUGGUGCUCAGGAUGCUGAUGGAAACCUAGCUGGGAGCAGCCUUCCCCACCCAGGUCUUUGUCUUACUGGUAAUCUGAUGCCUUCAACCUGCACCUCAACACUCGGUGAUUCCAUUUUUUCUUUUCUACCUGUACCACGCUGUUAAUGAGUACGUGGGGUCUAGGACCUCCUGCAGCCUGGGGCCGGCUCCAUGAGCUUCUUUACCCCUUUUGUCCCACGUCUUCAGGAACAGUUGGACACACACCUUCUCCCCCCAGUCACUCACUCAUGGGCUGUGAAUCCUAAGGGAAUCUCUUCUCUCUCCCUGGCUUCAGAGGGAGAUUUGGGUUUGAACCUCAGGGCCGUGACUUAUUGGCCAUCUGGGAAACCUCUGUGAAUGCUGAGUUUCCUGAGAGGUGGCACGGAGUGAGUGGCCAAUACACAGGGGCUAUAAAUAGCUGCUUCACAUUUUUGCCAAAGACUGGACCGGACGGACCUCGAUGGUAAAAUAACCAAAUCAACAUGCAGUCGGUUAUCUUUUGAUAUAAGGGAACAAAUAAGAGAGAUCAGAGGAUCCUCAAAGGCUGUUUUUGUCCCAAAGCGACUCUCCAAGGACAAAACUAGCAGCCCUCUGUGAAAGUGUGAUCUAAAAAGAAAUGUCUUCAUGCCUGGUUCUUGGUACAAGAUCUUCUUAAACCCUUGGAAUUUCUUGAAUGAUGGGAGAGGAGUUUCUUUUGUUAUUCAUAACAAGCCCCUUUCGACCACACCUGAGUUUAUGCUGAAGAAGUGACUUCAUCGCUUCAGGCUGGGAGCUGUUUGCCCAAGGAACCAACUCUGUGAUAAGAGGGUUAGAACUUUCAGUUCAAUCCCCUGACCUGGGAGGGGAGAGGGACUAGAGAUGGAAGUAAUCACCAAUGGCCAAUGAUUUAAUCAAUCAUCCUUAUGUAAUGCCACCUCCAUAAAUGAUGCAGUUCGGAGAGCUUCCUGAUCAGUGAACACAUCAAGGUGUGGGAGGGGGGCCUGCCCAGAGAAGUGUGGAAGCUCCACAGCCCUGCCCUCCCUCCACCCAAUACCCUGCUCUAUGAAUCUCUUCCAUUUGACCAUUCAUUUGUAUCCUUUAUAAUGCCCUUCACAAUAAACCGUCUCCCUGAGUUCUGUGAGCUGUUAUAGAAAAUUCUCGAACCUGAGGAGGGAGUCGCGGGAACCCCCAACUUUACAGCCGCUGGGAGGCCCCCAGGACAUGCAAUUGGUAGCUGACAUGGGGGCAGCUUUUUGGGACUGAAACCUUAAGUUGGGGGCUCCGUAUUAAUUCUGGAGAUACGGUGUCAGAAUUAAAUUAUAGAACACUUAAUUGGUGUCCAGAGAGUUGGAGAACUGUUUGGUGUUGGGGGGAAAAAAACGCACUCAUUUGGUGUCAGGGUGUCCUGAAUAGAAACAGCCUAUGAAACAGAUUUCGGAGCGUCGCCCACAGUGAGGCCCCCACCGGAACUGGGGCAGGACAAGGUAAUCUGAUGGUGUCAGAGUUCUUCGGCGGUAAGCAAUCAGAAAGAUUCUGAUGCACUUAAUUGGAAAGGACUUUGGAAAGGUCUAGAGUAGUGGUUGUUGGAGGCUGAAGAGCCAGGCCUCAGGAAGAAGGAAGGCUGUUAGCAGGAAUGAAAUGUUCCCCCAUCAGAACUUCUAAGUUGCAGUGUUUUCUGUUAUUCUCUCAAAGGCGCCAAACCCUAGGAACGGGUCUCAGUGGCCCGGAUUGGGUUCUGUGCGCCAGUAUCCUCCUAGUAGGAGGGGUGGGGGGAGAAUCCUUGAUUGACAGGCCCUCAGGACUUCUCAGAAUGGGGAAAGGGUUAAUUCCUUAAUGGGAAAUCAGGGUCCUUUUACCCCCCAAAGUGGAAAGGCAUGUAUGACAGGCCAAAGCAAAGAUCCCUGGCAUGCUGAUUUUAGGCUCCACUGUUAAAGUGUAGAAAACCAAGGAAAUGAUUCCGUCGUACCCUUCCCUGGCCAGGACCAGGCCCAGUUCUGGGAAGCACACUGUCGGAGGCCUUUGACUGCUUGGGAGGUGUUCAAAAAGAGCAAUUAAGACAGUGGCCAUCUGGAAAACAUGACACAUAAGAAAUGGUUGGAAGACGAGGGGAAGGAACCCCAAGAAGGGAGGACGGAGUGCACCUCUGCGGGCUGUUCUCCGAUAUCUGAGGUCUGGAUGUAGAAGAAGAAAAGUUUUGUAUUUAGUGGGCUCCAAAGGGAAGGACUAAAACCAUAAGGGAACAGAUUUCAGUUCUGUGUCUACAGGAAAGAGCUUUCCAAAAGAUCAACUGCUGGAAAUUAAAUGAGUGGAUGGAAGGCAGGGAACUUGCCAUCCCCGAGAAACCUUGGUUCUUCAAUUAGCAAGAGCAGUAACCGCACGCCUUGCAUCGCCUUACAGCACACCAGUGGGUCAUGGCCCAGCUUUUGAGCACCCCGACCUAAGGCUGUCAACGGAACAGUACUCUCUGCUUGGCCACCUCUGCGAAAGAGCGCUUUUCCACAUGUGGAGUUCUGGAUGUGCCCAGUGGGAGUGAGGAUGGAUAAAAAGGACAAGAAGGAGCUCCUCCGAGUAUCCUUUCUAACCACUUGCUCAGGGACAAUACCACAGGGAGCCCUUCAUUUAGAGCAUUGCUCCACUCAAGGACCUCAUUUGCCAUGUGUUGCAUUAACGUGCAUCCUUCAUGCAUCUCCCAGCGCCGACAUCAAGCCAACAUCUUGCUUUACCAUCGAACAGUAUGCAGCAAAAUUUGGUCACGUCUCUUGGGCUAUUCCUAUUACUAGAAAGCUACCAUAUCGGUGUUGGAAGGAAUUUUGUGGUCAAUGAGUUUACAAUGCUUGGAAAUAUCCAGUGGUGUUCGUGACAAGCUGAUGUGUAACCUGGUCUUGAUUUUUUUUGGACACUCACAACCUCCUAAAGUAGCACACAGCACUUUGGGCAGUUUCGGUUGACAAAAUCCCUUCUCACUUUGGGGUAAAAUCAACCCUCUGUCUGGCUAUAUCUAUCAAAAUCGAAAAUGCACGGAGCCUUUGACCAGCCAUUCCACUGUUAACAAUUUAUUCUACAGAUACAGUCCACACAGGCUCAAAGACGCGUGUGCAAAGAUAUUCAUUACAGCAAAGGGCUGGAUAUCAUUUAAAUGUUUAACCGGGGGACUGAUUAAACAAAUUAUGGAGUAUCUGUUGGGUGGAAUAUCAGGCAGCUGUUAAAAAAAAUCAACUAUUUUCACAUACUGACAGGGAAGUCUUUACAUUGGUUCUUUUUUUUACAUUGGUUCUUCUGCCCCUGGCCAUGUUGAUUUGUGAGAAAAAGAAAGUGGUUCAAUAAUACAUGUCACAUUUAUAUAAUCAAAAAGAAAGAUACACAUGAAUAUAUGUUUAGGUUUUAUCUGGAAAGAUAAUGGCAACUGUGCUUGCCCCUGGGAAAGAAAACUGUGAGACUGGGUAUCGGGUAGACAGGAGAAUUUUAUGUGCAUAUGUAUAUGAAUAUAUAUCUAGGUAUGUUUAUAUGUAUAUGUACAUCUCUGUUGCUGUCUCUCUCUACCCAACCCCCUUUCUCUUUUGAAAUCUUUUACCCUGUAAAUAACUUAAAAAACAUCUUUAAGGGGUGCCUGUGUGGCUCAGUCAGUUAAGUGGCUGCCUUUAGUUCAGGUCAUGAUCCCAGCGUCCUGGGAUCGAGCCCUGUGUCGGGCUCCCUGCUCAGUGGAGAGCCUGCUUCUCCCUCUGCCUGCUUCUCCCUCUGCCUGCCUCUCUGCCUACCUGUGCUCUCUCUUUAUCUCUCUGUCAAAUAAAUAAAUAAAAUCUUUAAGAAAAAAAACCCAUCUUUAAAAAUAUGUCUUCUUAGGCAACAAAAAACAAAAAGCGACAAAUGAGAUUACAUUAAGCUUAAAAAACUUCUAUGCAUCAAAGGAAACAAUCAACAGAGUGAAAAAGCAACCUGUGGAAUGGGAGAGAAUAUUGGCAAAUCAUAUAUGUGAUAAGAGGCUAAUAACCAGAACAUAUAAAGGAACUUCUAUAAAUCAACAACAAAAAACCCAAAUAACCCAAUUAAAAAAUGGGCAAAGGACCUGAAUAGGCUAUUCUCCAAAGAAGAUAUUCAGAUGGCAAGAAGCAUAUAAAAACAUGCUCAAUAUCACUAAUCAUCAGAAAUAUGUAAAUCAAAAUUACCAUGAGGUAUCACCUCAUGCCCAUUAGGAUGACCACUAUCAAAAGAAAAGAAAAUAACAAUUGUUGGCAAGGAUGCAGAAAAAUCGGAACUCUCAUGCACUGUUGGUAUGAAUGUAAAAUGAUGCAGCCAUAUGGAAAACAGUAUGGAAGUUCCUAAAAAAAUUAAAAAUAAAAUUACCAUAUGAUCUAGCAAUCCCACUUCUGGGUAUAUAUCCAAAAGAAUUCAAAGCAGGAUUUCAGAGAGAUAGUUGUACAUUUAUGUUCAUUAGACCAUCAUUCACAAUAACUGACAUGUGGAAAUGACCCACAUGUCAAUGAACAAAUGAAAUAAAAUGUGGUAUAUACAUACAAUGAAAUAUUAUGCAGCCUUAAAAAAGAAGGAAAUUCUGUCACAUGCUACAACAUGGAUGGAAGUGAAGCACAUUAUGCUUAGUGAAAGAAGUCAGUCACAAAAGGACAGAUAUGGUGUGAUUCCCCUCACAUGAGGUGUCUAAAAGAGUUAAAAUGAUAGAAAGUAAAAAGGUGGUUGCCAAGGGCUGGGGGGCAGGGGAAAUUCGUGUUUAUUUAUUUUUUGUAAAGAUUGUAUUUAUUUUAUUUGAGAGAGAGAGAGCGUGAGCAAGAGAGCGAGCACAAGCAGGGGAGAGAGGCAGAGGCAGAGGGAGAAGCAGACUCCCCGCUGAGCAAGGAGCCUGAUGCGGGACUCGAUCCCAGGACCCUGAGAUCCUGACCUGAGCCAAGGGCCUAACCGACUGAGCCACCCAGGUGCCCUAGAAAUUCGUGUUUAAUGGGUAUAGAGUUUCAGUUCUGCAAGACAAAAAAGCUCUAGAGAUCUGUCGUGUAACAAUGUGAAUAUAUUUAACAGUACUGAAUUGUACACUUAAAAAUGAUUAAGAUGGCUUAACAAAAAAACUGACCUCUUAAAUCCUAGCACAGGGCCCACCCGAUUCUACCUCUUAAAGCUGUACAAAAUACUUUAAUCUUUUUUCUACUACGGCAGGCCUUUCCAGACUUCUCCCAGGGCUUCUUAACCUGAUGGCCUCUCUUCUAGGUUAAACAUGUGCUUCUUUACACCAGUUCUGCCCCUGGUCAUCUGGUCUUAACCCCUCCUCCGGCCCAGAACCCCCAGCUGAGCUGCAGCAGGAUGGUGGGAUCCUUGACACAAUGAAGCUGUACCCUUGGGAAAAAGGCCUCACAGACACGCACCCCUGCCCCGGGGAGACCCUGUUCUGAGCACCCAGUGGGAGCAUAGUGGUGAUCUGGUGAGGAUAUCUCAGAGUGGGGUAUCUGGGGAGGGAAGGACCUCACGUGGGGUGUGGACCAGAGGGGAACCGAGGCUGGGUGCAGAGGCAAGCUUUGCUAAGUGUGUGACACCCUGUGUUCCCUAUACACGGUCAUGAAUUUGCUGGAAUAAAAUAGAAAAACCAGUAUCGCUUAAAUUCACAUGGCUCCUUUAUAUACUUUUAAAAGCAUUUUGCAGCUGGAUUAAAUUUGCUACUCAUGGCAACUCUUUGAGGUAGGCAGUCAGUAAGUAUUUUUCUCAUUUCAAGAAGAGAUGACAGCCAGAGGGAUUAAGGACUUACUCUGUGUCCUUCCUGGGCUGACCCUUUCCACUCUACAGCCUGCCUUUGAUUUCAUGUAAAAACAAACAAAACAAGCAAAACAGAAACAAAAGCCAAAAAGACCAUUUGCUCAAUUGUCCUGAGUCUUACAAUUUUGAAAGAUGAAAAUGUUUUCAGCAGAGGUAGAUGCAAUAGACCGCACUGCUUCCAGAUCAUGAUGCAGACCCAUGAGUGCCAAAGGCUGUUUGUGGGGCACCCUUGCGCUAGGGCCCUCACUGAGCCGGGAGAGCCCUGGGCCUCUUCUUUGACUGCGUUGGUGACAGUGGAACCUGCCUCCACCAAAGGGUAAGAGACCGGUUCAACUUCCUGCCCUGGGGAAACAGAAGUCCCCUCCCCAUGGCUAUAUAAGAGGAACCAAAAUAUCCUUAGAGCCCGUCUGUGGCUAGGGCCCUACACAGGGCCCACGGGAUCCCUCUCUCCUGCAGGGGCUGGAAAGCCAGAACGGUGGGAAGGCAGAGGGAAAGAGGGCCUCUGGCAGCCAGGAUUAGAGAAUGUGGGUAUCCAGAAGCCUCCAGCAAGCGGGGGGUGUGCACAUCAUCCAGGCCCUGGCUGUUUCUCCCGGUCAGCACAUGGCCCCGAGGCUGCACGUCUGCCUAUAGUAACUCUAUUUUCCCCCUUUAGGAUGCUCUCCCUGGCCAUUUUAACCUAAUUUCAUCAGGAUAAACAAGUUAGGGAAGUAAAAGGAAGAGGCACAGAGGAAAAUUUCCUUGCAGUCUGGAGCACCAGGGUCCCCAAGGGAAUGAGAAAAGGGCUUCUCUUCUCGCACAUAGAAAAAAGACAUUCUGCUGCCAGAGACACUCCCUUCGUGUUCUAAACUGGCAAACUCUGGGCGAGGGAGAGGAAGGUGGAGGGGUUUCUGCAGGAAGUCUGCUUUCUGGCCUCUCGCUGAUAGAUCCAGGGACAGGGAAUGAUAUUUAAAACAGUUAACAAGCGGGCCUGACCAAUCAGAGCCUGAGUUCCAGAGCCAGCUCCUGGGGGCCCCCUGCUGGGCCGUAGGUUCCAAUUCGGCUGCAGGACGGUGGGGAGGUGGGGUGGGGGGA